rnacentral:rRNA from 1 species
AUUGAACGCUGGCGGCAGGCCUAACACAUGCAAGUCGAGCGGAUGAAGGGAGCUUGCUCCUGGAUUCAGCGGCGGACGGGUGAGUAAUGCCUAGGAAUCUGCCUGGUAGUGGGGGAUAACGUCCGGAAACGGGCGCUAAUACCGCAUACGUCCUGAGGGAGAAAGUGGGGGAUCUUCGGACCUCACGCUAUCAGAUGAGCCUAGGUCGGAUUAGCUAGUUGGUGGGGUAAAGGCCUACCAAGGCGACGAUCCGUAACUGGCCUGAGAGGAUGAUCAGUCACACUGGAACUGAGACACGGUCCAGACUCCUACGGGAGGCAGCAGUGGGGAAUAUUGGAUAAUGGGCGAAAGCCUGAUCCAGCCAUGCCGCGUGUGUGAAGAAGGUCUUCGGAUUGUAAAGCACUUUAAGUUGGGAGGAAGGGCAGUAAGUUAAUACCUUGCUGUUUUGACGUUACCAACAGAAUAAGCACCGGCUAACUUCGUG